rnacentral:snRNA from 1 species
GGAUGUGAGGGCGAUCUGGCUGCGACAUCUGUCACCCCAUUGAUCGCCAGGGUUGAUUCUGCUGAUCUGGCUGGCUAGGCA